rnacentral:rRNA from 1 species
UACGGAGGAUCCAAGCGUUAUCCGGAUUUAUUGGGUUUAAAGGGUGCGUAGGCGGCCUAUUAAGUCAGGGGUGAAAGACGGUGGCUCAACCAUCGCAGUGCCUUUGAUACUGAUAGGCUUGACUACACUAGAGGUAGGCGGAAUGUGACAAGUAGCGGUGAAAUGCAUAGAUAUGUCACAGAACACCAAUUGCGAAGGCAGCUUACUAUGGUGUCAAUGACGCUGAGGCACGAAAGCGUGGGGAUCAAACAGG